CUCUACGUGGUAUAAGACUUCCUAGUGUUGUUUUAGAGAAAACUUUGGUUGUGUGUUGUCCUUAAAGUAGUAUGACACCAGGAAUAUCUAACUAGCUUCAAAUUCCUAAUGAAAGUAUGGCUACAGGAACAAGAAUCCAAAAAGGACAAAUGUCUUGUGAUCAGGAGUCUGUCCUGUUUUGUGACCCGUGUGGACUCCAAGGCGCUGACACAGGGCACACUGUGUAGUUCCAGGCAAACCUACUGUAGCCAACACCCACAUCUUCACAAUGGUGGGAAUCUGAAGUAUCCUCAGCAGAGAAAACCCAGGGUAAAGUUCAUAGCUGAGUGUCCGUGGCAGAGUUGGAGUUGAACCAAUCCAGUGUUUUCAGGUAACUGAUUAAAUGUUUUUACACCUCUAUCCAACUAAAUAUGUGGACAAAAAACUUGCUCAGUAUUACUGGUGGAAUGGACUCCAAAGGGCUGGGGAUGUAGUUCAGUGCGGCUGUGCCUGCCUGACAAGUGCAAGAUUCUGAGUUUGAUUCCCAGUACCAAAAAAAAAAAAAAAAAAGAAAAAGAAAUGGACCCCAAGGACUAGAAGUGUAAUGCCUGAAUACUGAGAAGACUUCCAAUCUUAAACACCUAAAGGACAGCUGUUCUAGGCCACUUGAAAAAUAAAAAAUUAUAUAUACUAUACUUGAAACUAUGGUGGCUGUUAAGUAUUGGUGUUACGAAAGACUGCCCUGUGAGCAAUAUGAUGAUUCUCACACUUGGCAGAGAAUCGUGUAUUUCUUGAGCAUGCAAACUACGCUGAAUCAACAACUAGAAAUGUCAGUGUGAGCUUGUACAUGGCACUAAAAUACUUGAAGAGAUGUCGGCAAAGUUUUAUGUCAAGCAGACUGUUUUUAGGCUUACUCCUUCUUUCAUGUCCAAAUACAAUUAAGGAGGUAAAGCGCUGUUAAGUUCCCUAACUCUGGACCUUUUACUAAAUCAGGGGUUUUGAGUACUAAGAAUGCAAGGAGAACCACCUCCUCUGCUAGAAGUUUAGAUCAAAAGAUUUUUUUUUUUUUUUUAACAUUGUUUGGUUUUUGUUUUUCUUUUUGGAACCAGGGAUAGAACUUGGGUCUUUGUGCUUGCGCAGCAAGCGGCGAAACCAUCAAAAGACUUAUUAUGGAGUAGGUUUACAUUCAUGGGAUUUAUCCUAUAAUCAAUAAAUCUGAAACACCUCUGUUGCAUAUAAGAGAAUGAUAAAGAAAUAGGGGAACUUCUGCUAUGAUGAAAAAAAGCUAGUAACUAGUUCUAUGACAGGGAACGAUGGUUAAGAGUAUGCCUUCAGGACUGCAAAUGCCUGACUGGAGAUCUGAUUAGUUACUGACCUUGGAGAAGUGACCUAAAUACCCGCUGCAUUAUCCUUCCCGUUAAAAUGAGCGUAACAGGAGCACCAAUGUCCCAAAGUUACUGUGCUCUUUAACGUGAUAAUUAAGCCAGUACUUAGAAUGGUACCUAG
rnacentral:lncRNA from 1 species